AGCAGCAGCCACGGUAAUACGGAGGGUGCAAGCGUUAUCCGGAUUUAUUGGGUUUAAAGGGUCCGUAGGCGGAUCUGUAAGUCAGUGGUGAAAUCUCACAGCUUAACUGUGAAACUGCCAUUGAUACUGCAGGUCUUGAGUAAAUUUGAAGUGGCUGGAAUAAGUAGUGUAGCGGUGAAAUGCAUAGAUAUUACUUAGAACACCAAUUGCGAAGGCAGGUCACUAAGAUUUAACUGACGCUGAUGGACGAAAGCGUGGGGAGCGAACAGGAUUAGAUACCCGCGUAGUCCCUGUCUCUUAUAC
rnacentral:rRNA from 1 species